UUCCGGUUGAUCCUGCCGGACCUGACUGCUAUCGGAUUGAUACUAAGCCAUGCGAGUCAUUGUAGCAAUACAAGGCAUACGGCUCAGUAACGCGUAGUCAACCUAACCUAUGGACGGGAAUAACCUCGGGAAACUGAGAAUAAUGCCCGAUAGAACAUUAUGCCUGGAAUGGUUUAUGUUCCAAAUGAUUUAUCGCCGUAGGAUGGGACUGCGGCCUAUCAGUUUGUUGGUGAGGUAAUGGCCCACCAAGACUAUUACAGGUACGGGCUCUGAGAGGAGUAGCCCGGAGAUGGGUACUGAGACACGGACCCAGGCCCUAUGGGGCGCAGCAGGCGAGAAAACUUUGCAAUGUGCGAAAGCACGACAAGGUUAAUCCGAGUGGUUUCUGCUAAAGAAACCUUUUGUCAGUCCUAGAAACACUGAUGAAUAAGGGGUGGGCAAGUUCUGGUGUCAGCCGCCGCGGUAAAACCAGCACCUCAAGUGGUCAGGAUGAUUAUUGGGCCUAAAGCAUCCGUAGCCGGCUCUGUAAGUUUUCGGUUAAAUCUGUACGCUCAACGUACAGGCUGCCGGGAAUACUGCAAAGCUAGGGAGUGGGAGAGGUAGACGGUACUCGGUAGGAAGGGGUAAAAUCCUUUGACCUAUUGAUGACCACCUGUGGCGAAAGCGGUCUACCAGAACACGUUCGACGGUGAGGGAUGAAAGCUGGGGGAGCAAAGCGGAUUAGAUACCC
rnacentral:rRNA from 2 species